AGAAUUGGAGGGUGACCUGGCUAUGACAAGCCACCUCACUGAUUGUCAGUGUUUUUUCAACUGAUCUUACUGGCUUGCUGGGUGUCCCCUUUCUCCUCCACAGGUCAGAGCCUGUCCUUCCUGAAGCAGAAUGCUUGGUCAAAAAGUACACCCUUUUCCCUCUUAAUAUUAAAGAACUUUCCAUGUUGAUUUCUGCCUAGGUUUCAGAAUCUUAGUUUAUCUGAACCUGCUAGCAUUGAAAAAUGAUACUUAAAAUUAAUCAUGGGAACAAGAAAUCCUCUUCUUUAGCUACCUCUUUCUAAAAACCAGACGAUUUCAGUCACCAGAAUUUAUCCCCAGCAGGCUGGCUGUAGGAUAGU
rnacentral:snRNA from 1 species